UGAGGAAUAUUGGGCAAUGCCCGCAAGGGUGACCCAGCAACGCCGCGUGGAGGAUGAAUGUCGUAAGAUUGUAAACUCCUGUUAGAGGGGAAGAAUAGUACCGGUUGGACCGGUAUAUGACUGUACCCUCAGAGAAAGCCCCGGCUAACUACGUGCCAGCAGCCGCGGUAAUACGUAGGGGGCAAGCGUUGUCCGGAUUUACUGGGUGUAGAGGGCGCGCAGGCGGGAUAAAAAGUCAGUGGUGAAAUCCUACAGCUUAACUGUAGAACUGCCUUUGAUACUUUUAUUCUUGAGUUCGGGAGAGAGAGACGGAAUUCCAGGUGUAGUGGUGAAAUACGUAGAUAUCUGGAAGAACACCAGUUGCGAAGGCGGUCUCUUGGUCCGACACUGACGCUGAGGCGCGAAAGCGUGGGGAGCAAACA
rnacentral:rRNA from 1 species